rnacentral:rRNA from 1 species
UGGGGAAUAUUGGACAAUGGGGGCAACCCUGAUCCAGCAAUGCCGCGUGUGUGAAGAAGGUCUUCGGAUUGUAAAGCACUUUCGACGGGGACGAUGAUGACGGUACCCGUAGAAGAAGCCCCGGCUAACUUCGUGCCAGCAGCCGCGGUAAUACGAAGGGGGCUAGCGUUGCUCGGAAUGACUGGGCGUAAAGGGCGUGUAGGCGGUUUACACAGUCAGAUGUGAAAUCCCCGGGCUUAACCUGGGAGCUGCAUUUGAUACGUGUCAGACUAGAGUGUGAGAGAGGGUUGUGGAAUUCCCAGUGUAGAGGUGAAAUUCGUAGAUAUUGGGAAGAACACCGGUGGCGAAGGCGGCAACCUGGCUCAUGACUGACGCUGAGGCGCGAAAGCGUGGGGAGCAAACAGGAUUAGAUACCCUGGUAGUCCACGCUGUAAACGAUGUGUGCUAGAUGUUGGGU